rnacentral:rRNA from 1 species
UACGUAGGGUGCGAGCGUUGUCCGGAAUUACUGGGCGUAAAGAGCUCGUAGGUGGUUUGUCGCGUUGUCCGUGAAAACUCACAACUCAAUUGUGGGCGUGCGGGCGAUACGGGCAGACUGGAGUACUGCAGGGGAGACUGGAAUUCCUGGUGUAGCGGUGGAAUGCGCAGAUAUCAGGAGGAACACCGGUGGCGAAGGCGGGUCUCUGGGCAGUAACUGACGCUGAGGUUCGAAAGCUCGGGGAGCAAACAGG